rnacentral:tRNA from 1 species
GCUGAUGUAGCUCAGUCGGUAGAGCACUUCCUUGGUAAGGAAGAGGUCAUCGGUUCGAAUCCGAUCAUCAGCUCCG